rnacentral:tRNA from 1 species
GGCGGGGUGGUGCAACGGUAGCACGUCACUCUCUGAAUGUGAAGCUGUAGGUUCGAAUCCUAACCCCGCAACCA